rnacentral:snoRNA from 13 species
UGUGAACUUGAUGACUUAAAGGGGGCUGAAAUAAUCUGAUGAAAAAUGCCAUCCAUUUCCUGAUUCACA